CCUACGGGAGGCAGCAGUGGGGAAUUUUCCGCAAUGGGCGAAAGCCUGACGGAGCAAUACCGCGUGAGGGAAGACUGCCUAUGGGUUGUAAACCUCUUUUUUCAGGGAGGAAUAAAAUGACGUGUACCUGAAGAAUAAGCAUCGGCUAACUCCGUGCCAGCAGCCGCGGUAAGACGGAGGAUGCAAGUGUUAUCCGGAAUCACUGGGCGUAAAGCGUCUGUAGGUGGUUUAAUAAGUCAACUGUUAAAUCUUGAGGCUCAACUUCAAAACCGCAGUCGAAACUAUUAGACUAGAGUAUAGUAGAGGUAAAGGGAAUUUCCAGUGGAGCGGUGAAAUGCGUAGAUAUUGGAAAGAACACCGAUGGCGAAAGCACUUUAACUGGGCUAUUACUAACACUCAGAGACGAAAGCUAGGGUAGCAAAUGGGAUUAGAUACCCCAGUAGUCCUAGCCGUAAACUAUGGAUACUAGAUGUUGAAACAGAUACGUACCGUCGUGCAGUAUACAACGACUAACGUACGUUAACGUUACGUACCCGUCCGUCGGUAAGGUAGUGUCGUCGCGAAGAGUAGUAAACGUUAAAGUUAGUAAGUUAAGUACGGUACGUUAGUUAGUACGUUAGACCGAACGGACGACGACGAGGGAGGAGG
rnacentral:rRNA from 1 species